GUUGUAUGGUUAAGUGACUAAGCGUACACGGUGGAUGCCUGGGCAGUCAGAGGCGAUGAAGGACGUACUAACUUGCGAUAAGCGCAGAUAAGGCAGUAAGAGCCGUUUGAGUCUGCGAUUUCCGAAUGGGGAAACCCAACUGCAUAAGCAGUUACUGUUAACUGAAUACAUAGGUUAACAGAGCAAACCGGGGGAACUGAAACAUCUAAGUACCCCGAGGAGAAGAAAUCAACCGAGAUUCCGGUAGUAGCGGCGAGCGAACCUGGAUUAGCCCUUAAGCACUCGGUGAAGUAGGUGAACAAGCUGGAAAGCUUGGCGAUACAGGGUGAUAGCCCCGUAACCGACGCUUCAUCGAGCGUGAAAUCGAGUAGGGCGGGACACGUGAUAUCCUGUCUGAAUAUGGGGGGACCAUCCUCCAAGGCUAAAUACUCCUGACUGACCGAUAGUGAACCAGUACCGUGAGGGAAAGGCGAAAAGAACCCCUGUGAGGGGAGUGAAAUAGAACCUGAAACCGUGUACGUACAAGCAGUAGGAGCACCUUCGUGGUGUGACUGCGUACCUUUUGUAUAAUGGGUCAGCGACUUAUAUUCAGUGGCAAGGUUAACCGUAUAGGGGAGCCGUAGCGAAAGCGAGUCUUAACUGGGCGCUCAGUCUCUGGAUAUAGACCCGAAACCGGGUGAUCUAGCCAUGGGCAGGUUGAAGGUUGAGUAACAUCAACUGGAGGACCGAACCGACUAAUGUUGAAAAAUUAGCGGAUGACUUGUGGCUAGGGGUGAAAGGCCAAUCAAACUCGGAGAUAGCUGGUUCUCCCCGAAAGCUAUUUAGGUAGCGCCUCGGACGAAUACUACUGGGGGUAGAGCACUGUUAAGGCUAGGGGGUCAUCCCGACUUACCAACCCUUUGCAAACUCCGAAUACCAGUAAGUACUAUCCGGGAGACACACGGCGGGUGCUAACGUCCGUCGUGGAGAGGGAAACAACCCAGACCGCCAGCUAAGGUCCCAAAGUAUUGCUAAGUGGGAAACGAUGUGGGAAGGCUCAGACAGCUAGGAUGUUGGCUUAGAAGCAGCCAUCAUUUAAAGAAAGCGUAAUAGCUCACUAGUCGAGUCGGCCUGCGCGGAAGAUGUAACGGGGCUAAGCAAUACACCGAAGCUGCGGCAAUGAAGUUUACUUCAUUGGGUAGGGGAGCGUUCUGUAAGCCGUUGAAGGUGAAUCGUAAGGUUUGCUGGAGGUAUCAGAAGUGCGAAUGCUGACAUGAGUAACGACAAAGGGGGUGAAAAACCUCCUCGCCGGAAGACCAAGGGUUCCUGUCCAACGUUAAUCGGGGCAGGGUGAGUCGACCCCUAAGGUGAGGCCGAAAGGCGUAAUCGAUGGGAAACGGGUUAAUAUUCCCGUACUUCUGACUAUUGCGAUGGGGGGACGGAGAAGGCUAGGUGGGCCAGGCGACGGUUGUCCUGGUUCAAGUGCGUAGGCUUGAGAGUUAGGUAAAUCCGGCUCUCUUUAAGGCUGAGACACGACGUCGAGCUGCUACGGCAGUGAAGUCAUUGAUGCCAUGCUUCCAGGAAAAGCCUCUAAGCUUCAGAUAGUCAGGAAUCGUACCCCAAACCGACACAGGUGGUCGGGUAGAGAAUACCAAGGCGCUUGAGAGAACUCGGGUGAAGGAACUAGGCAAAAUGGUACCGUAACUUCGGGAGAAGGUACGCUCUUGAUGGUGAAGUCCCUCGCGGAUGGAGCUGACGAGAGUCGCAGAUACCAGGUGGCUGCAACUGUUUAUUAAAAACACAGCACUGUGCAAAAUCGCAAGAUGACGUAUACGGUGUGACGCCUGCCCGGUGCCGGAAGGUUAAUUGAUGGGGUUAGCGCAAGCGAAGCUCUUGAUCGAAGCCCCGGUAAACGGCGGCCGUAACUAUAACGGUCCUAAGGUAGCGAAAUUCCUUGUCGGGUAAGUUCCGACCUGCACGAAUGGCGUAAUGAUGGCCACGCUGUCUCCACCCGAGACUCAGUGAAAUUGAAAUCGCUGUGAAGAUGCAGUGUACCCGCGGCUAGACGGAAAGACCCCGUGAACCUUUACUACAGCUUGGCACUGAACAUUGAACCUACAUGUGUAGGAUAGGUGGGAGGCUAUGAAGACGUGACGCCAGUUGCGUUGGAGCCGUCCUUGAAAUACCACCCUUGUAUGUUUGAUGUUCUAACUUAGACCCGUUAUCCGGGUUGAGGACAGUGCCUGGUGGGUAGUUUGACUGGGGCGGUCUCCUCCCAAAGAGUAACGGAGGAGCACGAAGGUGGGCUAAUCACGGUUGGACAUCGUGAGGUUAGUGCAAUGGCAUAAGCCCGCUUAACUGCGAGAAUGACGGUUCGAGCAGGUGCGAAAGCAGGUCAUAGUGAUCCGGUGGUUCUGUAUGGAAGGGCCAUCGCUCAACGGAUAAAAGGUACUCCGGGGAUAACAGGCUGAUACCGCCCAAGAGUUCAUAUCGACGGCGGUGUUUGGCACCUCGAUGUCGGCUCAUCACAUCCUGGGGCUGAAGUCGGUCCCAAGGGUAUGGCUGUUCGCCAUUUAAAGUGGUACGCGAGCUGGGUUUAGAACGUCGUGAGACAGUUCGGUCCCUAUCUGCCGUGGGCGUUGGAAGAUUGAAGGGGGCUGCUCCUAGUACGAGAGGACCGGAGUGGACGAACCUCUGGUGUUCGGGUUGUGUCGCCAGACGCAUUGCCCGGUAGCUAAGUUCGGAAUUGAUAAGCGCUGAAAGCAUCUAAGCGCGAAGCGAGCCCUGAGAUGAGUCUUCCCUGAUACUUUAAGUAUCCUAAAGGGUUGUUCGAGACUAGAACGUUGAUAGGCAGGGUGUGUAAGCGUUGUGAGGCGUUGAGCUAACCUGUACUAAUUGCCCGUGAGGCUUAACCAUACAACACCCAAGGGGUUUUGUA
rnacentral:rRNA from 1 species